ACUGGAACAUAAGGAGAGAAAUGGAUAAAUUUAGAGAUGAGUCUUGGUGAUUCUGAAUGAACAUCAAUUGUCUUGAAGGAUCUGGAGUCUAUGCCAGCUUCUCUGCUUCUCUCAAUCUGGCCUGGAUGCUUCCAUGGAAAAAUGUGAGAUAGAAGUAAUUCUGGCUUAGGGCUGUCAAUGAGAUUAACCAUCCUGCUUCCUCAAGCCUCUGAAUCCAACAUGGGUCAUGUCUUUUCCAUGCAGCUUGAGACCUGCAUUUGUCAAUGCCUGUCUCCAAAGCAGAGAGGACUUCUACUCACACAGGAGGACCCGGGAUCCGUAGGCAGGUUCCUGCUGGAGAGAAGGCAUGGAGCUGCCAUACCAACACCUCUCUACCCUUCCCCAGCUUGGAUUUGGCAUUCCACCCACUGUGCCUCAGCCUGCACAUGACUGUAGAGUCUCCAGACUUGGCUAGUGUACCCUGCUCAGCUCCAAGCUCAGCGCUAUGAAUCCUUUGUCAUUCUGGAGGUUUCACACCCUGCACAAAGAUCAAUUUCAACCCUGGUUAAGACCUUCAGCCCUACACUUGCAAGAGCCACUGUCCAUCAUGCAUGUUUCUGGAAUAUGUGCUUUUUGGUGAUAACAAAUCAAAUGAAGAAAUUCUGUCUUCAGCUGUUUUCUGAUUUCAGGGCUAAGCAUUCAGAAGGGAAUGUUGAAGACAUCCUGGACCAAAUAAACAUCACAAUUGUGGGCAGGUGCCCUUUAGCUGAU